rnacentral:rRNA from 1 species
CCUACGGGUGGCAGCAGUGAGGAAUAUUGGUCAAUGGACGAGAGUCUGAACCAGCCAAGUAGCGUGAAGGAUGACUGCCCUAUGGGUUGUAAACUUCUUUUAUAUGGGAAUAAAAUGUUCCACGUGUGGGAUUUUGUAUGUACCAUAUGAAUAAGGAUCGGCUAACUCCGUGCCAGCAGCCGCGGUAAUACGGAGGAUCCGAGCGUUAUCCGGAUUUAUUGGGUUUAAAGGGAGCGUAGGUGGAUUGUUAAGUCAGUUGUGAAAGUUUGCGGCUCAACCGUAAAAUUGCAGUUGAAACUGGCAGUCUUGAGUUCAGUAGAGGUGGGUGGAAUUCGUGGUGUAGCGGUGAAAUGCUUAGAUAUCACGAAGAACUCCGAUUGCGAAGGCAGUUCACUGGACUGCAACUGACACUGAGGCUCGAAAGUGUGGGUAUCAAACAGGAUUAGAUACCCUUGUAGUC